CAGGACCUGAUCAUCCAUGCCGCGUGUGUGAAGAAGGCCUUUUGGUUGUAAAGCACUUUAAGCAUUGAAGAAGACCUAACGGUUAAUACCCGUUAGCGAUGACAUUAGCUGCAGAAUAAGCACCGGCUAACUCUGUGCCAGCAGCCGCGGUAAUACAGAGGGUGCAAGCGUUAAUCGGAAUUACUGGGCGUAAAGCGAGCGUAGGUGGCUUGAUAAGUCAGAUGUGAAAUCCCCGGGCUUAACCUGGGAACUGCAUCUGAUACUGUUAAGCUAGAGUAGGUGAGAGGGAAGUAGAAUUCCAGGUGUAGCGGUGAAAUGCGUAGAGAUCUGGAGGAAUACCGAUGGCGAAGGCAGCUUCCUGGCAUCAUACUGACACUGAGGCUCGAAAGCGUGGGUAGCAAACAGGAUUAGAUACCGUAGUAGUCCAAGGGACAUAG
rnacentral:rRNA from 1 species